GUUCAAGACGUUCAACGGUAUUGUGGUCCACUUAAGUUUUAGCGCGCUUUCGAACACUGUUUUCGAGAUAUGGAAUUAAGUGUAUUAAGCUGACAUUAACUGUGUUUACCCACCUCAGAAUAUACUCCCGUAUCAAGGUAUGCGCGAGAGAUCAUCUUACUGGGCACAAGAGCAAGUCAUUUGUGAUAGAAUCACUUAUUGAG
rnacentral:lncRNA from 1 species